AUUGAACGCUGGCGGCAGGCCUAACACAUGCAAGUCGAGCGGGGUUUUCGGACCUAGCGGCGGACGGGUGAGUAAUGCGUAGGAAGCUACCCGACAGAGGGGGAUACCAGUUGGAAACGACUGUUAAUACCGCAUAAUGUCUACGGACCAAAGUGUGGGACCUUCGGGCCACAUGCUGUCGGAUGCGCCUACGUGGGAUUAGCUGGUUGGUGAGGUAAUGGCUCACCAAGGCGACGAUCCCUAGCUGGGUUGAGAGGAUGAUCAGCCACACUGGAACUGAGACACGGUCCAGACUCCUACGGGAGGCAGAAGUGGGGAAUAUUGGACAAUGGGCGCAAGCCUGAUCCAGCCAUGCCGCGUGUGUGAAGAAGGCCUUCGGGUUGUAAAGCACUUUCAGCGAGGAGGAAGGGUUGUGUGUUAAUAGCACAUAGCUUUGACGUUACUCGCAGAAGAAGCACCGGCUAACUCUGUGCCAGCCGCCGCCGUAACAC
rnacentral:rRNA from 1 species